GUCACUCUUCCUGUCUUCCAGCCUUCUCUAUCUCGCCCGAGCUCUGCAUCUGCCCAUUUCAAACCCUAGCUCUCAUCUCUCUCUCUCUCUCUCUCAAGCCCAGACCGCAUCUCUCUCUGCUCAGACCUGUCUCUCUCUCACCUGAAACCCGUCUGGAAACGACCCACGCGGCACGCUCGAGAUAGCCAUUUCGUGUAAGGGUACUCAGAUAUUUCAUGCUCGGUUGAAGUCUAUUGUUAAGAAUCCAUUUUACUCCUUGGUCGAUGGAUGCUGUGAAGUACAAAACAUGUGCAUCACCGUGUAUUAAUCCAUUUUUUCUUUUGACAAGAAACUGAUAUGGGAUUGAGUUGUGGUUUCUGUGCAGUUCUGCCACAAGAUUGACAGAGGUUCUAUGUUAGCUCCAAUGGCCAGUGGCUGAUGGUAUAGGCAGCCUGCCUCCCUCGGAUUGAGUUUUGAAGCUGUGCGUCGAAUCUAAACACAAUAUUUUUUUUUUAAAUAGAAUUUAUUGUGUUUCUAAUUAGGGACUGAAAUCAGGCCAAUAAGCAAACUGAGGAUUUCCCAUAGCUUCUUCCCCCAAUAUUUCUUCAUAAAUAGAUUUAAUCUAAGGAUCUGAUUUUGUAAUUCA